CCGCCGUCGGUACCAUGUCCCCCGCUGUCAGUUUGACUCGAUCCACGCGGCCCCGACCCGUCAAGCCGUACCGAAGAAUGAAGAGGGAUUUCCUGAGGCCCACGUGGCCCGACCGCAACCGGGGUCCGCGACGAAGAUGCUCGCGCGCCGGCCAUUGCCCACGCCAUGGAAUUCUCGCGACGCCACUCAGACUUUGGUGGAUGUGUAUGGUCGCGGGAGACGCCUCGCAUCCAACACCAGCUACUGAGAACCCUGUUGCAAGACAGUAUGACGCCUCCCUUCUUUAGUGAUUUUGGCAUAGGUUUGGAGGGGUCUGUCGCUGGGGUUGGUUCUUUGCUUCAUCGUUGAGGUUAAGCAUCAGCUAUGUGGGGCUGACAACCGGAACACUAGUGGGCAAUGAUCACUACGAACACUUAUUUGAAGAGAAAGAAGAGAUGCUCUACUGUGGCCACCAGGAGAGCAGAAAAGCAACCGCCAAGCUCCAGGAGAUAGGGGAUUAGCCCCACCUGCUAGUGAAGAACACACACAUGCAAAUGCCAUCUCUAAGUUCCAGUCAGGUUGUGUAGGAAACACAAAGAGAACCAAGAAGGAACCAUGAUGCUGUCAGUUUGGGUCAGCUAGAUAUCUUCUAUGAUGGAGAAAAAACAAUGCAUCUUGUUGCUAUCAUUUUGUAAAAGAUAUCUUGUGUAAUGGAGCACGGAUUGAAUGGUCGGACAUGUAUCUAUCAUUUUUUAAAUCUAUCGGGUGUUUCGAUCACUCUGACAAAUAUUUCCUCUUAUUUAGUUACAUUUAUUAUGGGAAUUAGUACUGCUA